rnacentral:rRNA from 1 species
AUUGAACGCUGGCGGAAUGCUUUACACAUGCAAGUCGAACGGCAGCACGGACUUCGGUCUGGUGGCGAGUGGCGAACGGGUGAGUAACAUAUCGGAACGUAUCCAAUAAUGGGGGAUAACGAGGCGAAAGAUUCGCUAAUACCGCAUACGCCCUACGGGGGAAAGCUGGGGACCUUCGGGCCUGGCGCUAAUGGAGGGGCCGAUAUCUGAUUAGCUAGUUGGUGGGGUAAAGGCCCACCAAGGCGACGAUCAGUAGCUGGGCUGAGAGGACGGCCAACCACAAUUGAACUGGGGCAACGUCCAGGCUCCUACGGGAGGCAGCAGUGGGGAAUUUUUGACAAUGGGCGCAAGGCUGAUCCAGCCAUUCCGCGGGAGUGAAGAAGGCCUUCGGGUUGUAAAGCUCUUUCGCAAGGGAAGAAAACCUAGCCACUAACAUUGGUUGAGGUUGACGGUACCUUGAUAAGAAGCACCGGCUAACUACGUGCCAGCCGCCGCCGUAA